UCGGAGCUGAGAGAGACAAACUGGAGUUGUUGUCACGUGCAGUGGGCACAAACUUGAAAGUGUAUAGUCGAGUGCCAAGUUGUCUUUUUGAGUGACUUUUGUUUCCACAAGCUCUUCUAUAGGAGUUAUGAGGCUCCAAUCGAACUGCUAAAACAGUCAGGCUCAAUGUUCGACUGUAGGGCAGCAUUAGGACCUUUGGUGUCUUCACUUUCUGACCAGCCAGGCACUGCUGCAGUUUAAGUCGGCCUUCCAUGGGGAAGAGACAGGAAACACUGUUGCACUACAAGAAAAGGAUUUAGAUAUUGGACCAUCAUAAAGAUCCCCUUGGAGCUGCCUGGAAGAAGGAUCCUAAUAUCAUGUAUCAGUUAGAUGACCAAGUUCAGGGCCUGCACGACUGCUGCAGCUCAGCGCCGGAGCUCGGAUCAAUGGAAUACUGUUGGGGAUACAACGGACCACACCCACACACUGAUUAGACCCUCUGAUUGGAUAUCACAUGGAUGUCUUGACCACUACCAUGGCUUUCAUGCAAAUUGAUGAAGGAGCAAAGAAGCAGCUGUGAGAAGCCCGGAAGGUCCCCCAACUCUGCCCCUCACCUGUGUCACAUCUGCCUGCCAGUGCCAUCAAGGUGCGUCAAUCUUCCACCCUGGCAUCUCUUUACCUGUGGCACUACACUGCACCUUCCUGGCUGGCACGCUUUCGACCCUCCCCCAUCACUCCCGCCUCUUGUUCCUCAAGGCAUCUGUCACUCACCUGUCAUUUCUUUCAUCAACUCCUGCCUUACUCCUACCUUCUUGCAUUGGCCUCGGCAAAGGCGGGAAGGAAACCAUCGGAGCGAAAAUGGUGACCACUUUGUCCCAGUUCCAGGUUUAGCUGCUGUGGAGGAUGACACAUUAGGGAGGUGCUGACUGACAGCGGCAUUCCUACUAAAGCAGGUUUCUCUCUGGGGACACAGGAGUUUGAUGAACGUAUGGGUCAAAUAUUUGACACACUUGAACCCUGCAGCAAAAACUUAUAGAUUUGUUUGGCAUAAUUAUAUCAAGUUUGAUACAAUGAUAAAGAUAAAGUUAUAUAAAGUCAACACUGAUGUUCCUUAGACUGUCUUGUAUUCAAGUUAUAGUUAGUAUAGUAUAACUCCUGCACCAAGACAUAUACCAAUACCCUCUAGAUUAUAAUGGAACCAGAUGGCACUCAGCUUGAGGUGCUGAAAGCGGCAAAAAAAUAAAAAAUAAAAAUAAUUUUUAAAAAAAUCAUCAUGACCCUGUUACUCAUGAUAAUCCACAGACCUUGCUGGGAGCAGUUUCAUAUAGGAACUAUUUUGUUUCUACACCCACCAAUCGAAUCACCACACAGAAGGGAAGCAUGUAGGUAAGAGGAAAAAUGUGUAUUUCUGAUUUGGGGUUGA